AUCCAGGGAGGUAUGACAGCUUCCAGGAAAUUCCUGUUUCUGAAAAGAAACCUAGUUUAGAAUGAAAUUGGGAGACAGCAGAGGGAACUUCCAAGCCCCACCCCUCCUUGUCAAUUGCAGACCCAACAGGUGGAUACUUCUUUACUAUUCCCUCAGGAGGAAUAAAGUUCCACCCACCUACACCACCCCCGCCCACAACCGCGCAGCCAAUGAGAGACAGUCACAACUCAGCCAAUGAAGAGCCACUAUAUUUCGAACUCCUCGUUUAAGCCAAUGGACUUUUUGCUUAUAAUAGCCUGCUCGGCACCCUCCCCCCUCUCCUCAAUAAAAGUCCAAGUGUUCUCUGAAAAGGCGGUAUAUACAAAAUGACCUUAAGAGGUGUGAUGCUGAAGAAAAAGGCUCACAAGUGCGGCUUGACGGGAAAUGGUUUAUUAAAGGGACUUACGGACAGAAGUGUGUCUUGCGGAGUGGCAAAACUAGUAGAUCUCUGCAGUCCCAUCUCCGCACCCUUUCAGAGCAAAAUUUGCUUGAAACUUGCUGGCUACUCAGUUCCUCUGCAGCGCAGAUCCACUUCAGGCUGGGCCCUGUCAUCUCAACAACAUUCACUGGAGCCCUGAUUCACGCCGGGCAUUAAUGACAGAUGGGGUGGGGAGACAAAGUCUCUGUCACUAAAGACAUCACCAGACUAUAAACAAAUGAUUAUCAAAGAGACCGCGGGUGUAUGGCUAAGGAACAUUUUGUCCCAUGAGAUAUGAAGGGAGAGUAGCUGCCUGGAAGAUGUGGGCCCAGGACUGGAAAACAUUAUCUAUACUGUUUGGCACAAGGUUGGGAUCAAAAGGUGAACUGUUACAUCUAACGCUCAUAUUACCUACAAGUUGAACAAGGACUACAAAGGCUCAUGGGACAGGAAUGCUGGCACAUCUUUUCUGUGCUAAUGAUUCUCAGCCUCCAUCCUAGGAUCCGGAACUCCAGACUUGCAUUCGUAUCUCCAUCCUGGACACUUUCAGUCUCAAGUUCCAUGGAAAAUUUCUCAAGGGUGUGAUCAUUUGCUUUAUGUAAUUGGCCUCAUGAUUUAGUGCAUCUAAAGAAAAUCCUUUACCUUUUUUUUUCUUUUUGGAAGAUAGAAGCCACAUCCCUAAGCAAGGCAAGCAAGUCAAGGAACUCUUCACAUUCUGGUGUUUUCCAUUUCUUCUCGUACGGAGCUUUUAUUUAAUAACAAAAUCUUACUACCAUCUUUGAAUCAGUGGUCAAAUUUUCUACUGUGAUCUGACCCAUCUUGGACAAAUCUGGAGCACCACAGAGCCCAGGAGCGUGGAGGGGCCCUCAGACCAGGACCGAGUAUUCAUGGUAAGCCUCUUUGUGGUCUUUGAAUUCUCCCUGCUCUCUCUUUCUGAACUGCUUUUGUGUCAGAAGACUUUGUCCUUUCAGUCAGUGAUCAUAAACUGGGCUUUUCCACUUUUGAUAUCUUUCCUAUGUGAUUUGCAAAAGUUUGAGUUUUCUGUUUUUAUCCAUAGGCCAGAUUAACCUUUCAUAGGCUUUCCCCAGACCAAAGUUUAUUUCUUAUUCUUUUAAAGAUUUUAUUUUUAAGUAAUCUCUACACCCAACAAAGGGCUCUAAUUCACAACCCCAAGAUCAAGAGUCCCACUUCCCAAUGACUGAGCCAGGCAGGCACCCCUUCCUAGACUGAAGUUUAAAAAGGAAUUCCCAGGGUGCCUGGGUGACUCAGACGGUUAAGCAUCCAACUUCAGCUCAGGUCAUGAUCUUGUGG